rnacentral:lncRNA from 1 species
UUUGCAUUUUCUUAAAAAGAAAAAUAUUUCAAACAUUGUUUGUGGAUUAAAGGAUACUUAGUAAACACACACUUGGAUACAUGUAUUAUAUAUGAAAUCAUUCCCUCUCCUUCCCCCCUUUCUUAUUCAAGAGUAUUCUGCAAUAUUCUUCAAGUAUUCUCCAAGAGUACUUGGAGAAUGAGAGCGUGUCUCUGUUCUUAAAACUAUUCCAUCACUUAGGUGAAAAGACCAAACAGCAACAACAAAAAAAGGGGGAACUAUUUUAACUGCUCCCUCACAAAAAAUUAAGAACAUUUCAUCUAUAGAGAUAUGUAAAGGUCUCAUCAGGUUUACAACAUAUCUUUAUAUUAUGAAAUUUAAUUUCAGUUGACAUGGAUUAUGGAAAGAUAAUGAAUUGUUAAUGAAUAUUCUGAAUUGGGUAAAUAUGAAAAUGUUUUAUUAAGUAUACCUCAACUCCUUUGUAAGUAUACUUCAACUCUUUUGUGGUUUUUAAAGCUAGGAGAGGACGUAUCUAGCUUUUUUCCUUCUUUUUUUUAGCUGUUAUCCUUUGAACAAGCCAAGUAGUAAGUUAUCCACGUUUCUCAUUUUUGCAAAAUAAACGAAUGCCAGUGUUUAUUCCUUUCUUGGUUGUGAUCUG